ACGGAAGGCAGCAGUAGGGAAUCUUCCACAAUGGGCGAAAGCCUGGUGGAGCAACGCCGCGUGUGUGAUGAAGGGUUUCGGCUCGUAAAACACUGUUGUAAGAGAAGAAUGACAUUGAGAGUAACUGUUCAGUGUGUGACGGUAUCUUACCAGAAAGGAACGGCUAAAUACGUGCCAGCAGCCGCGGUAAUACGUAUGUUCCAAGCGUUAUCCGGAUUUAUUGGGCGUAAAGCGAGCGCAGACGGUUAUUUAAGUCUGAAGUGAAAGCCCUCAGCUCAACUGAGGAAUGGCUUUGGAAACUGGAUGGCUUGAGUGCAGUAGAGGAAAGUGGAACUCCAUGUGUAGCGGUGAAAUGCGUAGAUAUAUGGAAGAACACCAGUGGCGAAGGCGGCUUUCUGGACUGUAACUGACGUUGAGGCUCGAAAGUGUGGGUAGCAAACAGGAUUAGAUACCCUGGUA
rnacentral:rRNA from 1 species